rnacentral:rRNA from 1 species
GACGAACGCUGGCGGCGUGCUUAACACAUGCAAGUCGAACGGAAAGGCCCUGCUUUUGUGGGGUGCUCGAGUGGCGAACGGGUGAGUAACACGUGAGUAACCUGCCCUUGACUUUGGGAUAACUUCAGGAAACUGGGGCUAAUACCGGAUAGGAGCUCCUGCUGCAUGGUGGGGGUUGGAAAGUUUCGGCGGUUGGGGAUGGACUCGCGGCUUAUCAGCUUGUUGGUGGGGUAGUGGCUUACCAAGGCUUUGACGGGUAGCCGGCCUGAGAGGGUGACCGGCCACAUUGGGACUGAGAUACGGCCCAGACUCCUACGGGAGGAAGAAGUGGGGAAUAUUGCACAAUGGGCGGAAGCCUGAUGCAGCAACGCCGCGUGCGGGAUGACGGCCUUCGGGUUGUAACCCGCUUUCGCCUGUGACGAAGCGUGAGUGACGGUAAUGGGUAAAGAAGCACGGGCUAACUACGUG